GAUGAACGCUGGCGGCGUGCUUAACACAUGCAAGUCGAACGAUUAAAGCCCCUUCGGGGGUGUAUAGAGUGGCGAACGGGUGAGUAACACGUGGGCAACCUGCCCCUCACAUCGGGAUAACUCAGGGAAACCUGAGCUAAUACCGAAUACUCCGGGAUGGUCGCAUGGCGGACCCGGGAAAGCUCCGACGGUGAGGGAUGGGCCCGCGGCCCAUUAGCUAGUUGGUGGGGUAACGGCUCACCAAGGCGACGAUGGGUAGCCGAGCUGAGAGGCUGAUCGGCCACACUGGGACUGAGACACGGCCCAGACUCCUACGGGAGGCAGCAGUGGGGAAUCUUGCGCAAUGGGCGAAAGCCUGACGCAGCAACGCCGCGUGCGGGAUGAAGGCCUUCGGGUUGUAAACCGCUUUCAGCAGGGACGAAUCUGACUGUACCUGCAGAAGAAGCCCCGGCUAACUACGUGCCAGCAGCCGCCGUAACAC
rnacentral:rRNA from 1 species